GUGCAGCAGCCGCGGUAAUACCGGCAGCUCAAGUGAUGUCCCAUAUUAUUGGGCCUAAAGCGUCCGUAGCUGGCCGACCAAGUCUCCCGGGAAAUCUACCCGCUCAACGGGUGGGCGUCCGGUAGAAACUGGCCGGCUUGGAACCGGAAGGCUCGAAGGGUACGUUCGGGGUAGGAGUGAAAUCCCAUAAUCCCGCACGGACCACCGAUGGCGAAAGCACUUCGAGAAAACGGAUCCGACAGUGAGGGACGAAAGCCAGGGUCUCCAACCGGAUUAGAAACCCGGGUAGUCC
rnacentral:rRNA from 1 species